rnacentral:lncRNA from 1 species
UACGCGAGGAACAGGAACAGAACCCACGCUUUUUUUUUAAAACUCCUCUUUGUUUUUUAACUGAGCGCCAGCACUGCUGGCUCUGCAGGCCGUGGCCGUCUACGUUACGCAGGACGCCCAGCCGCGUGCGCUUGCUACAGAGACCAUGCAUGCAUGGACCAUAUGCUCUUUUUAUUUUUUAUUUUUGGAAGUGAAUAUGCUAUUUUUACUACGCUGUCUACGUGAGUGUGCCCGUGCUCCCACGUAGCGUGUGGCAUGCGUUCUGACCAUCGACGGUCGAUUCUUUUUAGUACUCCGUCAAAUUGGACAUGGAGCACGUAUGCAGUAUUUUUCUAGCAACAACAGGCAAGCUCGCAAACAGACAAACAGGAGGCUGGAAUCACUGUUUUUGCCCAGGCCCAGCUACAUAGCACUAGCACUCUAGGCCUCUAGCAGCCCCAUUCCAUCCCCCGUCCAUAAAACAAAGCGAUUCGCUUUACACGCGGCCGGUGCAUCAUGCUGGGACGUUCGGGCUCCCUCCGUCUGUUUCCCCUCUCUUUCUCUCUCGGUUUUUGCGGCUAGCGGGUGGGUUUUAGCUCCGUUUUUCAAAGGGAAGAGCACGGAACAAAGGUACUCCUAGAAGAGGACGAGACAGUGGUUUUUGUUUUGUUGUGGCGCGGGUCGUCGUGUUGCGAGAGUUGGAGGGAUAGCGGAGGGGGCCUCCUCUUUGAGUUAUUCCUGCUUCUCAGUUCUCACCACGCCACGACAAGAGAGUAGUACUA